rnacentral:rRNA from 1 species
GUGGCAGCAGCCGCGGUAAAACCAGCACCUCAAGUGGUCAGGAGGUUUAUUGGGCCUAAAGCAUCCGUAGCCUGCUGUGCAAGUCUUCGGUUAAAUCCAUCUGCUCAACAGAUGGGCUGCCGGUGAUACUACACGGCUAGGGAGUGGGAGAGGUCGAUGGUACUCGGUGGGAAGGGGUAAAAUCCUUUGAUCCAUUGAUGACCACCUGUGGCGAAGGCGGUCGACCAGAACACGUCCGACGGUGAGGGAUGAAAGCUGGGGGAGCAAACCGGAUUAGAUACCCGGGUAGUCCCAGCUGUAAACGAUGCAAACUCAGUGAUGCCUUGGCAUGUAGCCAAUGCAGUGCCGCAGGGAAGCCGUUAAGUUUGCCGCCUGGGAAGUACGUUCGCAAGAAUGAAACUUAAAGGAAUUGGCGGGGGAGCACCACAAGGGGUGAAGCCUGCGGUUCAAUUGGAGUCAACGCCAGGAACCUUACCCGGGGAGACAGCAGAAUGAAGGUCAAGCUGAAGACUUUACCAGACAAGCUGAGAGGAGCUGCAUGGCCGUCGCCAGCUCGUGCCGUGAGAUGUCCUGUUAAGUCAGGUAACGAGCGAGAUCCCUGCCUUUAGUUGCUACCAUUAUUCUCAGGAAUAGUAGGGCAAACUAGAGGGACUGCCAUCGUUAAGGUGGAGGAAGGAAGGGGCAACGGCAGGUCAGUAUGGCCCGAAACCCUGGGGCUACACGCGGGCUGCAAUGAUAGUGACAAUGAGUUUCGAAUCCGAAAGGAUGAGGCAAUCUUCAAACACUAUCUCAGUUAUGACUGAGGGCUGCAACUCGCCCUCACGAAUAUGGAAUCCCUAGUAACCGCGUGUCAUAACCGCGCAGUGAAUACGUCCCUGCUCCUUGUACACACCGCCCGUC